rnacentral:rRNA from 1 species
GUUUUAGCCGGCUUGAUGAGAAGGCAGUCGACGGGCGAUCGGGGCUUGCUCCGGUCGCUAGUGGCGGACGGCUGAGUAACGCGUGGGUGACCUGCCCCGAAGUGGGGGAUAACGGCCCGAAAGGGUUGCUAAUACCGCAUGUGGCGACGUGUUCGGUCACGUCAUCAAAGCCGUGAGGCGCUUCGGGAGGGGCCUGCGUCCGAUUAGCUCGUUGGUGGGGUAACGGCUCACCAAGGCGACGAUCGGUAGGUGGUCUGAGAGGACGGUCACCCAGACUGGGACUGAGACACGGCCCAGACUCCUACGGGAGGCAGCAGUCGGGAAUUUUGCUCAAUGGGCGAAAGCCUGAAGCAGCAACGCCGCGUGAGGGAUGAAGGCCUUCGGGUUGUAAACCUCUUUUCUCAGGGACGAUGAUGACGGUACCUGAGGAAUAAGCCACGGCUAACUACGUGCCAGCAGCCGCGGUAAUACGUAGGUGGCGAGCGUUGUCCGGAUUUACUGGGCGUAAAGAGCGCGCAGGCGGUCGUGCAAGUCGAGUGUGAAAGCCCCCGGCUCAACUGGGGAGGGUCACUCGAUACUGCUCGACUCGAAGGCGGGAGAGGGAAGUGGAAUUCCCGGUGUAGUGGUGAAAUGCGUAGAUAUCGGGAGGAACACCAGUGGCGAAGGCGGCCUCCUGGGCCGUUCCUGACGCUCAGACGCGAAAGCUAGGGGAGCGAACGGGAUUAGAAACCCCGGUAGUCCUAGCCGUAAACGAUGUGAACUUGGUGUCGGUGGGGUAAAACUCGUCGGUGCCGAAGCCAACGCGAUAAGUUCACCGCCUGGGGACUACGGCCGCAAGGCUAAAACUCAAAGGAAUUGACGG